ACGUGGGAUGGGUUUAAUUCUGCUCUCUGGCAGCUGCUGCUGAGUGGGGUGAGCACCGACAUGAGUCGAGAGCUUCUAGAGCUCAUCUCUCCUGGGUGUGGGGCUCUGUCUGGGGUCCGCCUAUUUGAAUGACUUGUCUUUGACUUUAGUUCAUGUUGGACAACGCCAGGCCUGUGUAAUAAUGUCCCAAAGCCCAGGCGCAAGUGGGACAAGUAGGCCGUAUAGACAGCGCUGGGCCCCGCGCGCGUCCCCUCGGACCUCACCUGAGUACGUGUGGAAGGUGUCCUACUGCUAGAAGCUGCGACUCUGCCCGAGGGCUUGCUCUCGGUCCAAGCAUGCUGCCAGACAGCUGUGGCCAAAUUAAUCCCCCAGGAGCGGACAUCCGCUAAUGUUGCAUGGGGAUUGCAAGAUACUAGGAGCAGAUGGAAAGUGAAUAAAUAGCUUUUCCUCCAUUGACUUCUCAUGUGGCUCCUCCCAGAGCUGUCUGUUAUCCACUUACAUGCCCUAGUGUGCAUCAGAUUGUUGUGAACACUGUCACGUCCAAGUUGCAUCACACCUGGGGCUGCUCACCCUCAGGUGCAGCUGCGAGCCUGUCGCUGACUCUGUCACUGGGGCUUGGAGAAGUGGACGGGGCACUGGAGCUCCUCCCACUCUCCAGAUGGCUCCACCCACCCUGGAGGCCGCCCCAGGCUCCUCCACCUUUAACAGCAGCUUCUGUGCCCUCAGGGGAAUCCUUUCAGCAAGAACAACCACUGCUGGUCUUCUACGUCAGAAAGCUAACCAUGGCUGUCCCAGUGUUUCCGCCAGAAUUCCUGGGCCUGGGACAGUCAGACAAUCCACCGCUGCAUGAACAGGUGGACAUAUACUCCAUUUGCAAGACCCGUGUCACUGCACCUGCUGUCAAUAGUAGUAACCAGGCCAUACCUCUAGAGCACUUCCUUCUUGCACACCCUCCCUUCCAAUUUUCUCAGACAAGCCCUGUCAGAUGAAGGACAGCUUGAUGUGUGGAGACCUUACUGGAGAGCUCACGAUAGCUAGAGGUGGCGGCUGGGCUGUUCUACCCAUGGGGCUACGCAUCCUCAAGAUUCUCAAGGCGGUGAACUUUCAGCUGGACUCCACUCCCUGUUAACAGGCAGCCCAGUGGUCAUUUUCUUCUCUGCUCCGCCUCUCCUCUCCUCGCUCUCAGGGCGAGCCAGAAUGGAGGAGGAGGAAGGCAGACUUUCUAACACCUGCAAGGAUACGGACUGUGGUGGACCGGAGAAUGGCGGGGAGAGGAGACGCUCCGAGGGCCCCACUAUUCUGCACACAUCCCCAUAU
ensembl:lncRNA